rnacentral:rRNA from 1 species
CACAGAAGAAGCACCGGCUAACUCCGUGCCAGCAGCCGCGGUAAUACGGAGGGUGCGAGCGUUAAUCGGAAUUACUGGGCGUAAAGGGUGCGUAGGUGGUUGAUUAAGUUAUCUGUGAAAUUCCUGGGCUUAACCUGGGACGGUCAGAUAAUACUGGUUGACUCGAGUAUGGGAGAGGGUAGUGGAAUUUCCGGUGUAGCGGUGAAAUGCGUAGAGAUCGGAAGGAACACCAGUGGCGAAGGCGGCUACCUGGCCUAAUACUGACACUGAGGCACGAAAGCGUGGGGAGCAAACAGGAUU